rnacentral:rRNA from 1 species
UACAGAGGUCCCAAGCGUUGUUCGGAUUCACUGGGCGUAAAGGGUGCGUAGGCGGUGAGGCAAGUCUGAUGUGAAAGCUCGGAGCUUAACUCCGAAAUGGCAUUGGAAACUGCUUCGCUAGAGGAUCGGAGGGGAGACUGGAAUACUUGGUGUAGCAGUGAAAUGCGUAGAUAUCAAGUGGAACACCAGUGGCGAAGGCGAGUCUCUGGACGAUUCCUGACGCUGAGGCACGAAAGCCAGGGGAGCAAACGGG